rnacentral:rRNA from 1 species
CUACGGGGGGCAGCAGUGAGGAAUUUUGCGCAAUGGGGGAAACCCUGACGCAGCAACGCCGCGUGAGCGAAGAAGGCCCUUGGGUCGUAAAGCUCUGUCAAGUGGGAAAAAAAUCUUUUGAUCAAUAGUCAAAAGACUUGAUGGUACCACUGGAGGAAGCACCGGCUAACUCCGUGCCAGCAGCCGCGGUAAUACGGAGGGUGCAAGCGUUGUUCGGAAUUACUGGGCGUAAAGGGCGUGCAGGCGGUUUGGCAAGUCAGAUGUGAAAGCCCUGGGCUUAACCCGGGAAGUGCAUUUGAAACUGCCUUUCUUGAGUAUGGGAGAGGAGAGUGGAAUUCCCAGUGUAGAGGUGAAAUUCGUAGAUAUUGGGAGGAACACCCGUGGCGAAGGCGACUCUCUGGACCAAUACUGACGCUGAGACGCGAAAGCGUGGGGAGCAAACAGGAUUAGAUACCCCAGUAGUC